rnacentral:rRNA from 1 species
GCUCAGAAACUCAAGGAAUUGACGGGGCCCGCACAAGCGGAGGAGCAUGUGGUUUAAUUCGAUGAUACGCGAGGAACCUUACCUGGGCUCGAACGUAAGAUGACUGUAGGUGAAAGCUUACAUCUCUUCGGAGCAUUUUACGAGGUGCUGCAUGGUUGUCGUCAGCUCGUGCCGUGAGGUGUCGGGUUAAGUCCCAUAACGAGCGCAACCCUACCUUUAGUUGCCAUCAGGUAAUGCUGGGGACUCUAAAGGAACUGCCUACGCAAGUAGUGAGGAAGGCGGGGAUGACGUCAAAUCAGCACGGCCCUUACGUCCAGGGCUACACACGUGCUACAAUGGCCGAUACAGAGGGCAGCUACCUGGUGACAGGAUGCAAAUCUCCAAAGUCGGUCUCAGUUCGGAUCGGAGUCUGCAACCCGACUCCGUGAAGUUGGAUUCGCUAGUAAUCGCGCAUCAGCCAUGGCGCGGUGAAUACGUUCCCGGGCCUU